rnacentral:rRNA from 1 species
CGCGUAGGCGGCUCUGUAAGUCGAAUGUGAAAGCCCCGGGCUUAACCUGGGAAUUGCGCUCGAUACUGCGGAGCUAGAGUAUGGUAGAGGGAAGUGGAAUUUCCGGUGUAGCGGUGAAAUGCGUAGAUAUCGGAAGGAACACCAGUGGCGAAGGCGACUUCCUGGGCCAAUACUGACGCUGAGGUGCGAAAGCGUGGGGAGCAAACA